UCAUUGUACAAUUUACAAUGAUUUUCUAAAGACAGAACAGGGGAUUUCAAAGUCAUUUUGACUCUGUCUCACUCCACUUCAAAUAUCUCAUUAUCUAAAAUUCUUUUGCUUACACGGUUUCUUUUAUAAGAAACUAGACUAAUUAAGAUUUAAUUUCAUAAUUUAUUCAGCUUCUAAUUCAAUUUCCACAAUUUAUGGUGAUUUUCCAAAGUCACGCUACAGUUGCUGUCCCAAGCAGAUUUAUUACAAAUUUGCUCUUUCACACAUUCCUUGCAUUCAAAUUAUCUAAACAUGUAUAUCAUGUCAUUCAAGAUCGAACUCAUAUAACAUAGGCAUUAAAAUGCUUCACUAUCAGCUUUAGUUCAAUUGAAACGAAUGAAAUACAAUAUCAUAUUCACAUUUAAUUUUCCAAGAUCGUAAUCACCUAAAAAUAAAAUCAUAUACUUCCACAAACCUUUCCACAAGGACCAAGUGUUUAUAUUUGAAUAUAAACAUAGAAUUACUUCACAUAACUUCACAUAUUUACCGAAUAUAUCACAAUCACAUUUAUAGUCAUAACACUUAUUCACAGAUGCAUCACUUUAUAUAUAUAUUUAUAAUUUAAUUCAAAUCAAAAUCGCAUACGAGUACAUGAUACAUACCUGGCCAACUUAAUAUGUAAUG
rnacentral:lncRNA from 1 species